UCAUAAUUUACUAAAUUGGAGUUAAACAAGACCACUUAAAUCAUGAGGAAUGCAUUUCUUUACACUUAUUACUUAUGGUUUACAACAGGCAAAACUACUGAUACCACAUGUUUCAUACAAUUGCACAUUUGAUGACAAAUUAGACACUUAACUGUCUCAAGUAUAUAUGCGAUUCAUUAAUAAAUAAAAGUUGUUUUCCUAAUAGCCGAAGACAUGCGGACACCUCUGCACUGCAAGACCUGAAACUACAAGUAAAAGAAUUAUUGGAGGCCCCCCAUGGACUGGAGGCUGUGUCCCAGCAAAUCCAGAGCAUUGUCUCCAGUGCAGAGCGAGCUAUGCCAAGAACCCUUGUGACGGCCCUAAAGGAAACUUUUUCAUGUUCAAUUUGCACUGGAAUUAUGGAAAACCCAGUGUUUACAUCAUGCUGCAGGAGAAUUGUGGGGUGCAAGCUGUGCGUCAACCAAUGGGAGGCAACAUCUGCCCAGUGCCCUAAAUGCCGCUCCGAAGAGUACCACAUGACUGAAGUUGCUGGUCUCUCUGGAUGCAAUUAAAAAUAUUGUUUAACUUUUCAAUGAGUGUCAACUUUUGUGCAGAAUCCAUUUCAGUCACCAGAGGACCAGGUUGCUGUGGAGAGGCAGUUCUCUAUGCAGUGUCCUGACAUUGCAUCUCUUUUUGAACGUGUUUUCAAUUUCCAACAAGAAGAGUUCCAAAAUGCUUUGAAAAUACUAAUUGAUCUUGUUCGAGUUCAUGCUUAAUAGUGUUUCUUACUGUCUUCUGAAUUGAAGGAUACUCCACUUUAAAAUUAAUUCUGUCAUCAUAAA